GGACCAAUUUGUUGGUCGUGCCUCGGUACGUACUGGUAUUAUUGGUUUCUACCUUCUGAAGAACCUUGAUGUCAUUAAUUUGGUGUCUUGGGGAAUCAGGACUGUUACUUUGAAAAAAUUAGAGUGUUUAAAGCAAGCAUACGCUUGAAUACAUUAGCAUGGAAUAAUGAAAUAGGACGUUUGAUUCUAUUUUGUUGGUUUCUAGGAUCGACGUA
rnacentral:rRNA from 1 species